rnacentral:rRNA from 1 species
ACUCAAAGGAAUUGACGGGGGCCCGCACAAGCGGUGGAGCAUGUGGUUCAAUUCGAUGCAACGCGAAGAACCUUACCAGGGUUUGAACUGUAUUUGAAAGACUCAGAGAUGAGUAACCCUAGCAAUAGGCAAUUACAGAGGUGCUGCAUGGCUGUCGUCAGCUCGUGUCGUGAGAUGUUGGGUUAAGUCCCGCAACGAGCGCAACCCUUGCUCUUAGUUGCUCGCUCGCAAGAGCAGCACUCUAAGAGGACCGCCGGUGACAAACCGGAGGAAGGUGGGGAUGACGUCAAGUCAUCAUGGCCUUUAUGCCCUGGGCUACACACGUGCUACAAUGGCCGGUACAGAGGGUUGCGAAACCGCAAGGCGAAGCCAAUCCCAGAAAACCGGCCUCAGUUCGGAUUGCACUCUGCAACUCGAGUGCAUGAAGGUGGAAUCGCUAGUAAUCGCGGAUCAGCAUGCCGCGGUGAAUACGUUUCCGGGCCUUGCACACACCGCCCGU